rnacentral:rRNA from 1 species
UACGUAGGCAGCGAGCGUUGUUCGGAGUUACUGGGCGUAAAGGGUGUGUAGGCGGUUGUUUAAGUUUGGUGUGAAAUCUCCCGGCUCAACUGGGAGGGUGCGCCGAAUACUGAAUGACUUCGAGUGCGGGAGAGGAGAGUGGAAUUCCUGGUGUAGCGGUGAAAUGCGUAGAUAUCAGGAGGAACACCGGUGGUGUAGACGGCUCUCUAGACCGUAACUGACGCUGAGACACGAAAGCGUGGGUAGCGAACCGG